rnacentral:rRNA from 1 species
CCAGUAGAUUUUUAAUAUAACAUGCACUACCCGAGACCAUACCGAAUUCGACACGUAACGGCAUGUUAUUACAUGUAUACUGCUUUAGUGGGAAACAUGGGUCUUUAUCUACUGG